GACGAACGCUGGCGGCGUGCUUAACACAUGCAAGUCGAACGGUGAAGCGCCUUCCUUUUUGGUGGGUGUGGAUGAGUGGCGAACGGGUGAGUAACACGUGAGUAACCUGCCCCCUUCUUCUGGAUAACCGCAUGAAAGUGUGGCUAAUACGGGAUAUUCUGGGUCUGUCGCAUGAUGGGUCUGGGAAAGAUAUUGUUUCGGUGGGGGAUGGGCUCGCGGCCUAUCAGCUUGUUGGUGGGGUGAUGGCCUACCAAGGCGGUGACGGGUAGCCGGCCUGAGAGGGUGGACGGUCACACGGGGAGUGAGACACGGCCCAGACUCCUACGGGAGGCAGCAGUGGGGAAUAUUGCACAAUGGGCGCAAGCCUGAUGCAGCGACGCCGCGUGAGGGAUGGAGGCCUUCGGGUUGUGAACCUCUUUCGCCAGUGAAGCAGGCCUGCCUCGUUUGUGGGUGGGUUGACGGUAGCUGGAUAAGAAGCGCCGGCUAACUACGUG
rnacentral:rRNA from 1 species